CACAAGCCGCCCCUGCCCCCGCCCCCACCUUGCCGGCCGAUUUGCUCACGCCGCCAUAUGCUCCGUCCUCUACUUGCCUGGCGCCGCCACCGACCCGACUCUGACCUGCCUCGCGCCGCCACGGCGUCUGGAUCUGACCAUCCUCACGCCACCACCUCUCCAGACUACGACCUGUCUCGCGCCGCCACCGACCCGACUCUGACCUGCCUCGCGCCGCCACGGCAUCUGGAUCUGACCAUCCUCACGCCACCACCUCUCCAGACUACGACCUGUCUCGCGCCGCCACGGCCUCCGGCCCAGAUCUGCCUCCCGUCGCCACGGCCUCCAAGGGGAGGUACUCUACAAUCUGAGGGGCCGCCCCGCAACCUGCAGACCGAGGAAGCGACCUACCAUACUCUGCCAAGGAGUCGCCCCACUGCCCCUCUUCCAACACCGGCGACAGCUCCCCUACCCCAUCUGUCCUACCCCGUUUCCACAUCUGGCUACUGUAGGGUGAUUUAGGAAUGGCUUAGGCUUGUACGGACUGGAAGGGAGCGCAUGUACUAGUGUAGGCGGGCGCAUGCGGCCUGGUUCAUGGCGGUGGUGACCUAGUUCGUGAGUGUACAAAGCAACGACCUGGACCAGUUGUCUAAUCGACAGUUUCACAUGGAAAACGCUGACGGAAACAGGAGCAGAAAGUGAGAGGUCCUUGUGUAUGAUGAUGGCUUGCCAAUGUUGUGGAAAAUAAGGUCCCAGAUGAGAGCUCUUAUGGAACCAAAAAAGAAUAUAGGAAUAGGAGGAGAUAUAAGGACUACUGGGGAAGUACGAGGGUCAUCACGGCCACCCAAGAAAAACAAAACGAUUGUGUACUUGCAAUUGUUUACAUUCAACACUUCCUUAUUAUAUAUACCAUUUUUUCACACAUAUUUAUGUUUUUUCCCAGUCAAAGGACGUAACUCAUAGGAGUUUUGCUCGUGUCAGUAAUUGAAUGGUAAACUUUUAUAGAAUGCUAAUUCUCAGAUGUUUGUGAAUCGAUUACCAAAUGGACUAUGGACGAACUGAGAGCAUGUAGUAAAUGUAGGCAUGAUUUUAUUGGAAGUUGUGUGCAGAUCGUCGCAACAAUUACUCAUAGUAGACAUCUGGUAAUAUAUGUAUUACCCGAUCUAGCUCCUAGAUGCCUAACAAGAGUGCAUCUGUUAUCAAGGAAAACGAGAUGCAUGUGCAAGUGCACUUCCUGCUGCUACAUAUAUGACUGCUAGUACAUGUAUAUUUACAAGGGCAUAUCUGAUUAUUUGCUGGUUGAGGAACUUCAAAUGGAAGUAUGUAAAACUACAAUUAUGUUCUUAUUCCUAAUGCAUUAGAACAGAUCUGAUUGCUUUAUCAAUGAGUGCAUAAAUUGUCAUUUCCUAAGAUUGCUCAAACAUACGAGUUCUUUUGCAGGGACAAAAGGAGGAAAGUAGCAAGUUCACAAGUUGAUCUAAGAUGUUCCGGUGACUGCUUUUGGUCAUAACAUGGUUGUCACAUUUUGUUCAUAUGGAAGUUGAUCUCAGCUUGGGGAUAGAAGACUUGGUCUCUUCCAUAAUUUUUUCUGGUGGUGAUCGAACAUUUAGUCUCUUAGGACUUGGCCAUCAUAUUUUAUUAGAGGACAUGACUCGAAUGUUGACUUAUGUAUUUCCUUAAUGCGUGUAGCUAACUUGAGUGAAGAAAACUAACAAAUCCUC